CGCCGGGUCCCGCGGAAACCGCAGCUUCGCAGGCAGCGGGGGCCCCUCCCGGGAGAGGCGCCGCCGGAAUCCGGGACAGGGUGGGGCCGCGAGGACGGCGAGCAGACCCUUCCCUUGUCGGGCCUGACCGCCGAAGGGGAGCAGAGCCGCACUUCGCACCGAGCCUUUCAUGUUCAUGGUCGCGUGGAUCCUCUCCUUUGUCGAGCAGUUUUUCAGCCAGAGCGGUUUACAAAGGGCUCAUUUCCUCGGGAUGCGGGGCAGAACUGAAAGUGCACUUCGUGGGGCUCGGUCUCCAUUUUGACUAAAUCAAAAUUUUUAUCAAGUGCUUCUCUAUGUAUUGAGACAUACACUUCACUAUCAGAGCAGUGACUCCACUCGGCCCUGUAGCGGCAUUGACCCCGACCAUGUGGAUGGCUGUGGAGAGACCUUUGGAAUGUUUGGCCACGUUGGCUUCAGCGGGCUGAAUUGUGGUCCCAGGUGCUGUGCAUCUGCAGUGUGAACGUUCCUGUCACUGAUGACCGCGGGCGACCCAUUUGCCCUGCUUUGGUGUUGUUGAGCCGGGCAAUGCCUCAGGGGGACCAAAUGGCAGGGAGAAUUGACUUUUGAGUUCAAAGUUUGUUUCAAAACAGAUGGGUCUUGCGGACAAUGCCCACCUCUGAGUAGCACCUGUUGUCGUCUCAGGCCUGAGCACAUCCAUCUCAGCACCUAGUUUGCGAUACUGACCCCCUUCGUUGCUGGGCUGCCUGGUGGGCAGAAGAGGGGGUGACCCGUGUCAUGGCUCACUGUUCAUGUCCCUACUUUUGCAUCCAGUUCCUUUCCAGUGGCUUAGAGAGUGACAUGCGUGUUACUGGAAGACAUGUGUCCGUUUCUUUCCCGAACCUGUAAACAGUGUUUUCUCCUUUCCCUCCCAGCUUUGCUGAGCCAAUUUUAUCAGCUGCCCUGCCUGCAGCUACCUCCCCAUCGGGAGGGGAAAGUGGAGAACACGUCCUGCUUUAGCAACCCCAACACGCCCGUGGUUCACGCUUCCCGACAGACCACCACCACCAGCAGCACUUUACCAGAACAGAGCCCCAAGUUCUGCGUCCCCUACUGGCCCCAGGGCACGUCCUGUGGGGGUGGGGGGUCAGCAGUAUGCUUUCACCGAAGCUGAGAAAUGAGUCGCAGUGCCCACUUCUGCAGCUGUCAUCCGGAAGGGAAUGGGAUCUUGGGUGCAGGUGGAAACUGUGCCCCACCAUAGAUUCAUGGUCCUAGAUGUUUCCCCCUCACCCUCUGAACUCAAGGCUUCACUACAGCAAUUUUGAGUUCCACAGGUGGGGUGUAGGAGUUACAGUCCCUGCUCUCCACUGGGGCCAGCUCAACACCUUUGCAAGGGGUUCGUGCUAAACUUGUGUGCAGUCCUAAACUGGCCUCAUCUCUGUCCUGAAUAUUUGGAUGAUACUUGACCCCAGCUUCCUGGAGGGAGCGCUAGAUCUUGACUGCCCUUGUGCUAGUUAGUGAUAGGAGAUUUGCCAGGUACCCAGGCAGAUAAUGUAGGAAGAUGAGAAUUGGUGGAUGGUGGAGAGCAAGGCCCAGGGGUGCAGGGCUGGGACUCUCUAUGAACCCAGGCUCUAGAAGGGGUGACUUAUGGGCCCUUGAUCUGUCCUGAGAGCCCACAACCACCUUGGGAGAAGGGAUUGUGACAUUUACUUGGUGCUGUGGGCGUACAAUCUCACACAAUCUAGCUCUUCUGGGUACGCUUAACAUGUCCAGAAAAGUGUGUAUAUAAAUCUUGUGCGAUUCCUGUGACCAAAACAAAGCUGUCAACUUUGAACACAUAUGUGGAAUCCCAGAGAAUGUCCACCAUGUCUUUAAGGUGGGGUACACAGGGUUAUGGAGAUACAGGUAUUCGAUGUUUCACCUUCUACCCCUCGGAAAAAAUGUUGAGCACACACCUCCAAUGUUCAUUUUUAUUUAUAAUAUAUAUAUUAUAGUUAUAAAAUACUGUGCAUAUUAUAAAGUGUAUGUUUGUAAUAGA